UACGUAGGGUGCAAGCGUUAUCCGGAAUUAUUGGGCGUAAAGAGCUCGUAGGCGGUUUGUCGCGUCUGCUGUGAAAACUGGAGGCUCAACCUCCAGCCUGCAGUGGGUACGGGCAGACUAGAGUGUGGUAGGGGAGAUCGGAAUUCCUGGUGUAGCGGUGGAAUGCGCAGAUAUCAGGAGGAACACCGGUGGCGAAGGCGGAUCUCUGGGCCAUAACUGACGCUGAGGAGCGAAAGCAUGGGGAGCGAACAGGA
rnacentral:rRNA from 1 species